GAUGAACGCUGGCGGCGUGCCUAAUACAUGCGAGUCGAGCGAACAGACGAGGAGCUUGCUCCUCUGACGUUAGCGGCGGACGGGUGAGUAACACGUGGAUAACCUACCUAUAAGACUGGGAUAACUUCGGGAAACCGGAGCUAAUACCGGAUAAUAUAUUGAACCGCAUGGUUCAAUAGUGAAAGACGGUUUUGCUGUCACUUAUAGAUGGAUCCGCGCCGCAUUAGCUAGUUGGUAAGGUAACGGCUUACCAAGGCAACGAUGCGUAGCCGACCUGAGAGGGUGAUCGGCCACACUGGAACUGAGACACGGUCCAGACUCCUACGGGAGGAAGCAGUAGGGAAUCUUCCGCAAUGGGCGAAAGCCUGACGGAGCAACGCCGCGUGAGUGAUGAAGGUCUUCGGAUCGUAAAACUCUGUUAUUAGGGAAGAACAAAUGUGUAAGUAACUAUGCACGUCUUGACGGUACCUAAUCAGAAAGCCACGGCUAACUACGUG
rnacentral:rRNA from 1 species